UAAUAAGCGUUUUAUGGCACUUUUUAAAUCCAUAUCCACCUUGUGUGCAAUGUCAGUCGAUCUUCUUCAUGGAGAUCGACCAAACAUCAACCUUUAUCUUUUAACUCUUUGUCUGAAAAAUAUUAUGAAUAAACAAUUCAAAAUA
rnacentral:misc_RNA from 1 species